UCCCGCAAAUUUUGAUCAUGUGACUAGUUUUGUCAUUGUUGAAGCGGCUUUGUAAAAUUUAAGUUCAGACAUUUUCUUGGUGUUUUAAAUUUAUUUAAAAUUUGGAUUAUUGAUAGUUGAAAUUACAGCACAGAGAGUUUGGAAGUAUGUGUGUUUUGAAGAAGAUGAUGUAAUAUGAUAUAAUUGUACAUUCAGUUCCAUAAACUGAGUGUUGAUCGAUUCGAUUGAUUGAGAUUUAUUGAAGGUUUAUUGACGAUUCAUUGACGAUUGAUUUUGUCGAUAUUUGGAUAUGUAAGAUUGAUAUACAUGUAUGUGUCAGAACUAGAAGAUAAAUAAAUACAUUAGAACUGUG